UACAGAGGGGGCAAGCGUUAUUCGGAAUUAUUGGGCGUAAAGAGCUCGUAGGCGGCUCGGUAAGUCGGGUGUGAAAACUCGGGGCUCAACCCCGAGACGCCACUCGAUACUGCCAUGGCUAGAGUCCGGUAGGGGAGCGUGGAAUUCCUGGUGUAGCGGUGAAAUGCGCAGAUAUCAGGAGGAACACCGGUGGCGAAGGCGGCGCUCUGGGCCGGAACUGACGCUGAGGAGCGAAAGCGUGGGGAGCAAACAGG
rnacentral:rRNA from 1 species